rnacentral:rRNA from 1 species
GACGAACGCUGGCGGCGUGCUUAACACAUGCAAGUCGAACGGAAAGGCCCUGCUUUUGUGGGGUGCUCGAGUGGCGAACGGGUGAGUAACACGUGAGUAACCUGCCCUUGACUUUGGGAUAACUUCAGGAAACUGGGGCUAAUACCGGAUAGGAGCUCCUGCUGCAUGGUGGGGGUUGGAAAGUUUCGGCGGUUGGGGAUGGACUCGCGGCUUAUCAGCUUGUUGGUGGGGGAGUGGCUUACCAAGGCUUUGGCGGGUAGCCGGCCUGAGAGGGUGACCGGCCACAUUGGGACUAAGAUACGGCCCAGACUCCUACGGGAGGCAGCAGUGGGGAAUAUUGCACAAUGGGCGGAAGCCUGUUGCAGCAACGCCGCGUGCGGGAUGACGGCCUUCGGGUUGUAAACCGCUUUCGCCUGUGACGAAGCGUGAGUGACGGUAAUGGGUAAAGAAGCACCGGCUAACUACGUG